UGACGAAAGGAAGCUCAGCGUAGUCAGCAGCAGGAGUUUCGUUAGGACAAUCGGUAGAAAGGCCAGGAGUUUCAUGCCCAGGCUGGCAAGAAUGGGCACUAGAAGAAGGUUCCCGAGCAUUAAGCUUCCUAAAAGCGUAACAAGUUGGGAUAAAUGCGGGUUAUCCCAGACCGGCGGAAUUCUCUGGCAUCCUUCCACCGUUUCUGAUAGAACCAGCUAGAAUCUUUAUUCCUGAGGGAUAGUCGAGCCGCUGCUGGUGCGACAAACCCGUCGCCGACAAUCACCGUUAACGAGAUACCCUCGACCGUGACGGGUCGAGCAUCACGCGCCACGUUCAUCAAAUAACAUUAACGGAGUCACCGUGGAAUUCCAUUGAUAGUUCCCAUUCGAGGAAUGGCAUUCAGCGUAUUUGUUCUUUGGUGGAACAGCCCAGAAUCUCGUUACUCGAUAGCCGAAAGUGAUUCAACACGUAAUAUCAGGAGGUCGAACAUAUUCCGAGUGACGUAACGGUAUUAGAUACAUAAAACCCUUUUACCCUUUUAUCUUGGGUAUCGCUCAUAGGUUCAAGCAAAAUUGUAAAAAAAAAAAAUAAUGAAAUAAAUGAUUCUUUUCAAUGUA